rnacentral:lncRNA from 1 species
CUUCGUCAUCCGUGCCGCUCGCUGUCUGCGGGAGCCGGAGCUGAUCCCCUCGGCAUACGCGGGCACACGCGGGCACACACACCUCCAAUAGCUGGAGUGUUUUCUGCGGGGGCGGAUGGGGAUUCCUCUCUUCUUUCCCACUACGGUCCCUAGGAUGUGGAUCCUACCCCGCGCCAUCCAUCACGCUCCCUCAGCCUGAUGCCUUCAACCCCUUCCUCACCCCUGAACCACAUUCGUCUCCCCUAGACCCCUAGGAGAAAGAGUAAAGCAAGCAAACCCCUGGAGUGUUCCUUGACCACUUACUUCCUCCUCGGGAAGAUGAAGGAACUUUAUAAAAGAGAGCUGAGGUUCCGUCGGUCGAGGAGGUGAGGACCAGACCCGCCUUUGACAUUUGCUGUGCCCAGGACAAAGAUAAAAUGGAAUUCUACAUACCAGAGGAGCUCCGGUCUUCACUUUCACCUUGGACAUUGUCUCCUGGCUUCCAGUGCAGACUCUUCACUGAUAUGGACUCACCUGGGAGUCACUCUUUGACUGCAUGCUUCAGAUCCCCAGUGUGCAGACAGAUCUUUUGCACUCUUUCACACCCAACUCUGUGGAUGGCCAUCACAAGCCAAUCUGUCUCCAGAGAGCAUGACUGAGGGAGACAGGAUGCUGCUGAAGGACCAGGUUUUCCUCAUAUGCCUUCUCUAAGCUUCUGAGACAAAGGCCGAGGACUUCUCCACCGUCACAGCCCCAGACCAGGAAAAAGAAUGUAAUAAUGGCCAAUGAAAUAUUCAUUCCAGACUGAUGCUGUAUACCACCGUCUCAAUCGCCGGGUUACAUUAUUGCUUCUGAACAGAAGAGCAGCAGGGGUAGUCUGGGACCACAGUGAGUCAUUUCUCCCUGGAGAAAGCUGGUCGUCAUUGCCCUGCUCCCAGGGCCUCUGCUGUCAUGGCGUCAGCUGUGCCACCCAGACUGGGACACGUGAGGCUGACAACGGGGUAGGAGGCGGCAGAAGCUGGCUGUAUUAUUUCAGGUGCUCGGACCUUGGGAAGUGCUCAGGAACAUUUAAAGAGUGGUUG